GUAGGGAAUCUUCCGCAAUGGACGAAAGUCUGACGGAGCAACGCCGCGUGAGCGAAGAAGGUCUUCGGAUCGUAAAGCUCUGUUGUCAGGGAAGAACAAGUACCGUUCGAACAGGGCGGUACCUUGACGGUACCUGACGAGGAAGCCACGGCUAACUACGUGCCAGCAGCCGCGGUAAUACGUAGGUGGCAAGCGUUGUCCGGAAUUAUUGGGCGUAAAGCGCGCGCAGGCGGUUCCUUAAGUCUGAUGUGAAAUCUCGCGGCUCAACCGCGAGCGGCCAUUGGAAACUGGGGAACGUGAGUGCAGGAGAGGGGAGCGGAAUUCCACGUGUAGCGGUGAAAUGCGUAGAGAUGUGGAGGAACACCAGUGGCGAAGGCGGCUUACUGGUCCAUUACUGACGCUGAGGUGCGAAAGCGUGGGGAGCAAACAGGAUUAGAAACCCCAGUAGUCC
rnacentral:rRNA from 1 species